UACGAAGGGGGCUAGCGUUGCUCGGAAUCACUGGGCGUAAAGGGUGCGUAGGCGGGUUUUUAAGUCAGGGGUGAAAUCCUGGAGCUCAACUCCAGAACUGCCUUUGAUACUGAAGAUCUUUGAGUCCGGGAGAGGUGAGUGGAACUGCGAGUGUAGAGGUGAAAUUCGUAGAUAUUCGCAAGAACACCAGUGGCGAAGGCGGCUCACUGGCCCGAUACUGACGCUGAGGCACGAAAAGCGUGGGGGAGCAAACAGGGAUUAGAAACCCCCGGGUA
rnacentral:rRNA from 1 species